rnacentral:rRNA from 1 species
AUUGAACGCUGGCGGCAGGCCUAACACAUGCAAGUCGAGCGGAUGAAGGGAGCUUGCUCCUGGAUUCAGUGGCGGACGGGUGAGUAAUGCCUAGGAAUCUGCCUGGUAGUGGGGGAUAACGUCCGGAAACGGGCGCUAAUACCGCAUACGUCCUGAGGGAGAAAGUGGGGGAUCUUCGGACCUCACGCUAUCAGAUGAGCCUAGGUCGGAUUGGCUAGUUGGUGGGGUAAAGGCCUACCAAGGCGACGAUCCGUAACUGGUCUGAGAGGAUGAUCAGUCACACUGGAACUGAGACACGGUCCAGACUCCUACGGGAGGCAGCAGUGGGGAAUAUUGGACAAUGGGCGAAAGCCUGAUCCAGCCAUGCCGCGUGUGUGAAGAAGGUCUUCGGAUUGUAAAGCACUUUAAGUUGGGAGGAAGGGCAGUAAGUUAAUACCUUGCUGUUUUGACGUUACCAACAGAAUAAGCACCGGCUAACUUCGUG